rnacentral:rRNA from 1 species
UACGAAGGGGGCUAGCGUUGCUCGGAAUGACUGGGCGUAAAGGGCGCGUAGGCGGGAUGGCAAGUCGGUCGUGAAAUCCCUCGGCUCAACCGAGGAACGUCGAUCGAUACUGCUGUUCUUGAGGAUUGCAGAGGAGACUGGAAUUCCCGGUGUAGCGGUGAAAUGUGUAGAGAUCGGGAGGAACACCGGUGGCGAAGGCGGGUCACUGGCCCGGUACUGACGCUGAGGCACGAAAGCGUGGGGAGCAAACAGG